AUAAGAGGCUGGGCCUUCAGCUUAGCUGGGCUGGAGCCAGUGAAAGAGGCAGACGUCCCUGCCUUGCUGCCAUCUGCCAAAUACCCAGAGGAGCUGCUGGGACUGCCAUCCACCGAAUACCCGAAGAAGAUGGAGGACCCAUGAAUGACGGAUCCCUAUGAACAGACUGGGCCACUCUUGCCAUCUUCUGGCUUAGAUGAACGUUCUCCUCAGCUCAACCCAGCCCUCCUCCUAUUCCUCAUCAGUUCUGUGAAGAUGGGCCACCUCCUGAGAGAGAAGGAGACCUGGGAUCAAAAGAAACCUUAGGACUCCCACCCCUUGGACACAUCUGUGACAUUCUUGAUCUCCAGGAACAUGGCUCCAUGCUGUAACAGAAUGGGGAGCCAUCUGCCCAGCAAGCCUGUCGUCCAUGUUGUUUUCAC